CGGUGAACAAGUUGGCACGGUGAUUGCGUAGGACGCACAUGCAGGUACAACGGCGUGCCUGCAACAACAUGCAGACGAUGCCAGCGGCUCAACGGCGCGCCGCACGCAUCCAGGACAACGGCGUCCUUCCGGUAUACCGGAGGGCGCC
rnacentral:misc_RNA from 1 species